ensembl:lncRNA
GGAAGCACCUCCGAGGGACAAGAAAAAGCCACGCAGUCUCCCAGGUCCUUCAAAGAAACCUCACACAGGGUCACUGCUGUCACACUGCGGGCAGCCUGGCUGGAAGGACAUCCACAGGAAAGGAGCUGUCACAGACAAAGCCUGCAGAUGGAAGAAAAGGUUGAAAUUAGUACUUAAAAUGCUCCGUUUACAUGAAAAGCCAGCUGAAACAGGAGCGCAAAGCCCGGCCCAUGGUGCAGAACAAAGCUCUGCAUCGUUCCAGUGCUUCUAGUGUGCUUUGGGGGGAAGCUGUUCCCAGUUGCAACACACAGCCACGCUUGGGCAGUGCUGCUGUAACCAGAUCCCUCUCUCAUCUGAAGCUUUUCAAGAACACAGAUUGGAGAGAGCGUGACCUGCGUCUCAGAAGGCCAAGGGGACCUCAGUAAAGGAGGUGGCAGCAACCGGUGUCAUCCUGGUCACUGCACGAGGACCUGUGUGCAGCCUGCUGGCCUGUCCUGCUGACAGCAAGCUUGGGAGCAAGCAUCAAAGGUCAACACUUGAUCCUGCACCCCUCCUACUCAAACGGCCAAGAACAGGAGACUCCAUCCAGCUGCUCUCCAUCACCCAUCAUCUCACCCACCAGCACACGCCAGGGCAGAGCCCAGGGCUCCGCAGGGCACUGUUUAAUUGCUCACCCACACGGUGAGUAUAGUGAGAACCCAGCUAUCUGCAGGCAUUGCUGCCAAACGCUGUUAAAACAUCUGCAUGUUUCUUAUCACCACUUGGAGAGGAUUAACAUGCCAGGCCAGAUAUUAAUGAGGGAGCGGGUUAUAAACCCAUCUCAGCUUGCACACUGUGUUCACAUCAAGAAAAGCAAAGCAGGAGCAGGACAGAUCAAAAGAGAGCCAUUAAAGGCGUGAGAAAAACAGUGCUGCCAUAUAAGGAGCUAAUAAAGUUAGCAGCUCUCCAGUUUGGAGGAAAAAAGGGCAGGAGGAUCAGAAAACAUCCUUGGGGUUCAUACCAAAAGUGAAGGAAACAGCCAGAGGCAGCCUCCCAUCUAGGAGCAAACGUGGAUAAAUAGAAAGGCACUUUACAGAGCAAGCCGACAGCACUGCUCAUACAUUUUUAACACGUAACAUAAUGUUCAUGACAUUUCUAACCCAGUAUCUUACCCCAAGUGGUGGAGCUUGCUAAAAAAAUACAAGAUUAGAUAGGGAACAAGGACAGCAACAGAAGCUGUGCUCGCUAAAACCGUAACUCCCUACAAUCAGUCCUGGCUCAGUGAGGGCUCUGCUUUGUGGGCUCACAGCAUUGCAGCUGCAGAGUGGGGUGGGAGGCGUUACACUGCUCCCCACAGCUGGGGACACCACGCUGACCAGACCUGCACGGAUUACAGCACUCACAUUCACAGCACGCAGCGAUUACCCUCAGUGUCCAGGUAGCGCUCCAAGUCUUCACGAUGUGUUAACUCUGUCCCUUUGAGUCACUGCAUCAGCUGUACCAGGAUUCUCUGACUCCUUUUCAAGCACUGCUCCCAGCCAGACUCCAUGCUGUUCUCAUCCACACAACGCAGGGGAUGAGAGCUGCUGCAAAAUAAUGCCACUGUGGCCAAUGGCUGAGCAUCAGUUACCUUCUGCAGCACAGCAAACGCAGCUCAGGAGCUCCUGGAAUUUGGUUUAUGCUGAACCCAUUUGUGUAUAUAUAUAUAUAUAUAAAAGCACACUUCCGUUUUCAAAAUACGUUGCUACCCAAAAAUAGAUGUUUCUUCAACAGCAGAGCACGGAGCAAUUGCUAAGCCAUGCAAGCAAAACACCAUGUACAGCCAGAGGACUGCAAAAGAACUCACUCUUGCUUACUGCAUAGUAGAAUUUUUUGGAAUUAAUACCUGAUUUUUCACCCACUGUGGAAAAAAAAAUAGGAACAUUACAGCGCCAGCUUCUGCCCUGGUUCCUUUUGCCCCCAAACAUCUCUGCAAUCACAUCCUGAAGUGCUGUACCUGCUAGUUUUUUUUCCAAACAUGAAGCAUUUCAUCCUCUAGGCAGAGGGCUUCAGUCUUCCAGGCUGUGAAACAGAACAUUUCAGGGGAAUAAGAUGAAAAAAAAGAAAAGCCCCCCAGCCCCACCUGAUUUGACUACUGCAAAGGAUACAAACCUCCUGGGAGUGGAGAGAUCACUGUAUCCUGUAUGUUGCCAUGUUUAACACACAGCUGCAGGGCGUUACCUCUCCAUGAAAAGGCCCACGUGCAAUGCCCAGCAGGAAUGACAGAAAUCACGCUGGAGAAGUCACAGGACAAGGGUUUAAAACAGUGCAACUCUGUGAGUUGAAGGCUGCUCUUCUUCACAUCCCCAAUCACAUCUGAUUGUCAUGCCCAGAGCAAAAUAAAUAGCAAGCCAGCUAUCUUCAAUGCUUUUGAUUCAUCAUGUUGGCACCGAAGUCACUUCACUGUGUUCUAAAUGAAGCAGACUGAGCGCACGCUUGUGCCCUUAUUGCUCUCUCACUUCAGGGAAAGGCAAAGAAGAAAAGUACUUGUGCGUGGAGAUGUAUUUGAAAGGAGAACAGUUUCUUGGCUAGCUUUGGCUUUCAUUUUAUAUCACCAAUAGCACUGCAUAACACAAUGCAUGCUUAUGCUUUUUUACCUCUUUGGCAUAAUAGGAAAGCUUAAAAGGCUGCAGUGUCCCCCCGCUGGAAGAGGAGCAGAGGUUUCUAUCACUCACUUGCUUUUUGCACCAGAAAUUCAGGUUUUGUUUAGCUUGGAAACCUCACAGAUGUCGUUCUGGUAACUCUUCAAUCCAAAGCGUGUGGCGGUAGAAGUCCAACACUCCCAAGGAAGCCCUCAGUUAUCCCAAACUGCCACAGAAAAGUAGUACAAUUCCCACAGGGUACAGUGGCCUGAAAAACAUGAAGGCAUCC